rnacentral:rRNA from 1 species
AUGGAUGACUUGAGCUUCCUUGGCAGCGGCCAAAUUCACCAAACCAACACAAUGUAUAGGAUUAUUAAGGAGAUUAUACCGCCUGAUGUUCGAGCGGCACAGGAUCUUCUUAUUGAGUGUUCUAGAGUUCUUCAAUCUUCUGUGUCUGAAUCCAAUGAUGUCUGCAGCCGGGAGGAGAAGAAAACUGUUGCCCCUGAGCAAGAUCUUGGCUUCAAAGAGGUGUAUGCAGUAGCCUACGAGCAGCACAAACUUAAUACUCUGGACUCUCCAAAAGAAAGCAACGGUGGCAAUGAGGCCAAUCCUGACCACCAUCACCAGCAGCAACGGCACCGACAGCGAUUGCACCAGCAACACCAACAAGCGCUGCCGCAGUCCACUUCUUGGCUGUAG